rnacentral:tRNA from 5 species
AAAAAGUCCUUUAGACA